rnacentral:rRNA from 1 species
GUCCACGCCCUAAACUAUGGAUGUUAGACGUUGGAGGUAUCGACCCCUCCGGUGUCGCAGCAAACGCAUUAAACAUCCCGCCUGGGGAGUACGGCCGCAAGGUUGAAACUCAAAUGAAUUGACGGGGACCCCGCACAAGCGGUGGAGCAUGUGGAUUAAUUCGAUACUAACCGAAGAACCUUACCCAGGUUUGACAUCGAUGGUAACCCGGUGAAAGCCGGUCCCCUCCCACAAGGAGGCCUGAAGACAGAUGUUGCAUGGCUGUCGU